rnacentral:rRNA from 1 species
CCUACGGGAGGCAGCAGUGGGGAAUAUUGGGCACUGGGCGCAAGCCUGACCCAGCAACGCCGCGUGAAGGAAGAAGGCUUUCGGGUUGUAACCUUCUUUUCUGAGGGACGAAGAAAGUGACGGUACCUCAGGAAUAUUACACGUCUAACUCCGUACCAGCAGCCGCGGUAAUACGUAGGUGGCAAGCGUUAUCCGGAUUUAUUGGGUGUAAAGGGCGUGUAGGCGGGAAAGCAAGUCAGAUGUGAAAACUCAGGGCUCAACCCUGAGCCUGCAUUUGAAACUGUUUUUCUUGAGUGCUGGAGAGGCAAGCGGAAUUCCGGGUGUAGCGGUGAAAUGCGUAGAUAUACGGAGGAACACCAGUGGCGAAGGCGGAUUGCUGGACAGUAACUGACGCUGAGGCGCGAAAGCGUGGGGAGCAAACAGGAGUAGAUACCCCUGUAGUC